rnacentral:lncRNA from 1 species
CUCAUACAAAUCCAUAGACACCGCCUGACAGGCUCACCCAUAGCCUGUGACCCAUUCCAGCAAUGUGAGGAUGCCAGAUCUUCUGUCACAGGCCCUGAGGUCACGCACCACAUCUGGAUGGAUAUGCACACCUUGGACUCCAAUCCGGCAAGGGCCGAGGUCUAGGCUGGCAUAUGCCUGUCCCUUCCAUCACAAGGCAGAGCGUAGCUCAGGACCCAGUUUCUGUGUGCAAGCCCAUUCAGCAGGAGUCAAGACAGACAUUUGGAGGGGCUUGCCAAGCUCCCACACAAUGUACAACUGUCCUCCCAGCUCUGAUGCCUUGGUCCCAACAUGCUCAUGCAUUCCCCCUACCCAGCCUUAGCUGGGUCACAACAAUUAUUUCUGCAAACAGAGCAGAGGGUGGCACACCUAUAUCCCCAUGGCCCUGGCCAUCACUCAUUGGCUCUGCUGGUGUUGCAAAGUUUUCGGGAACCUCACCAGUGAGGUACAGCACUAUGGCCACAAUAUCUGGAAAUUGGAUCAUUGUGAAUCAUCUGGGAUCGUAGUGCGAACAGUCAGACCAUCAUCAUCGAUGGUCUGUAGCUGUCCAUUCUCCCUU